GGAUGUAGCUUAGUGGUUGAGCAUCUGCUUUGCAUGCAGAAGGUCCCAGGUUCAAUCCCCUGAAUCGCCA
rnacentral:tRNA from 1 species